UCAGAUAAUCAUCGACGUCACGCUUGAGGAAGAAAGACAUCAAAUCACAAAGUCAAGAGAAGCACACCACAGAGAGGCUGUAAUCCGAGCCCUCUAGAUUUGAGGACAUUAUUUACAGAGCUUGUCAAGACGACAUUCAGGAUUUUAUUACGCAAAGAUGCAAUAGGUCGAAAACUGGACAUCAUUUGACUGGCCUUUGUAACACUGAUCGUCAAAAAGUUACCAUAUGAUAGACUUGAUGUUUGUGUGAAAAGUGUGUUUAUGCUUGUCAACAAUUUGAGAACAUUGCAACCUCCAAAGGAUUUAGAGAACACUCGCUGCGGUGCCCUGACAUGAACAUAAUUUUUCGAGCCUCGAAACCAGCCUCUCAUGGCCGUGAUGAAUGUUGCCGGAAACAACAAGACCCUGCUUUACAAAAGAACUAAACGACUAUAAGACUAAAACUGUUGCAUAGUUCUAAGAACUCGAUAACUAAAUUAAUUUUGUGAACGUAAAGAUAACAUAAAUUGCUAAAGAAGAUUUUGAUCUUAAUCGUACAUAUGUAAGUAAUUUUAUAAAACAUAGCCCAGGUUUAUCAUCAUAAAGUAAAAAAGGCCUGUAACUCUGCCUCCAUUAUCAAAGUCAUCGUAUGAAUUCACCAUAUUCAGAUAUUGCUGAAUUUGCAGACGGUAUUUAAAAGUAAACAACUGAGCGGUACAUGCAUGUUUAAUGUUUAUUAAUUGAUGUAAUACUCAGCCAUUUUGGGUGUCAAAUCUGGAGUUUUACUCGCAUUAUUUAUAGAUUUGUGGUGAAAAAGGAGAGGGGCUCCUCUAAAAUCCGUCAGUGUUAAAGUAUAUUGUACCCAAUUACUUUUGAAGCAGUGAUUGUAUUCAUACGCAAAACAAAAAGAAGCUGAUCACUCGACUUCAUUUCAUCAAACAUUGAAUGAUUUUCAGUGUAAACAUUAUUUUAAUGUGAUAUAAACAGGUGCAUGUAGUACAUUGAACAAUGAAGAUGAUUUACAACAGAGGUAUGAUAAAUUGCAGUAGAAUUCGGAAACAAGUUAUAAAACUUAUAUUAAUUCGUUUCCUUUAUGUAGAUUUACAGUUGUGAUAGUGAUCCGCCCAAAUUGGUGGUAUAAGAUAUUGUUAUGCCAAUAAUUAUAUACGUGUAUAUUUGUGAUUAAGACGAGUAAUAAUGGUAAAAAAAAAACUAAUACAAAAGGAGCAUAUAAUGAUUAUAAUGAUGAUGAUACUACAUGUAACUGUAAAUGAUAGUAAUACUUACUAAUGGUAGAGAUAGCAAUGAGAAUAAUGGUAUCAUAAGAAAUAUCAUAGCAGUGUGGUGUGAAAUAUUUGGGAAAAGGAAGGAUUUGCGAGGAUUGUUAGAUUUUGAAGUUUUAAUGAAUUUGUGAACAGCUAGCUGCAAUAAUGUAGCCCUAUCCAAUUUUUUUUAUUCUGACGUUUUCGGGAUAGGGCUACAAUUCCAUAGGAUCUCCGUAAUGGUGCAAAAUAAUUUUAUGAAUAACCGAUAAUAAACUCUGUGUAUUAGUCCCAAAUGUUGUUUGCACCAAAAGGAGUACCAACUUUGUGCUCGGGCAUGUCUAAUAAAGGUGUUUUUCAUUAAAUAUAAUGUACAGCAUGCAAAAUUCUUCGUCUGCUCCGCCAUGCUUGUUAUCGCGAGAUCUCGUAGGUGGAUCUAAUGAAAAACCUAAACAUUGACAAUCAACGCGAAAAUGUAGUUACUCGAACCACUUCGACAAAGAAAGGAAAAUCAUAUUGUUGCAGAAAGAAUUUACACUCUGCUGUUCGGUUUUUAACUUGAUAUUAAAUUCAAACCUUUUCAAUACCGACGACAUAGCUUUCGCCUCCAUACUUGUCCAUUGAUGUAAAUACUACCUUAUAUGGCAUAUGCAAAUGACUUGACAAUCGGAAGUUGAAACUUCAGUACAUCAAACAUGGCGCACAAAUAUGAAUCGAGAAAUUGGAAUUUAUCGAAAUUGUUGAAAACGGUAGAAUAGAGCCUCACAAAUCUUAAGUUGCAGGUUGUAAGUUUAUAUAUUGACUAAGAAACAUAGAAUAUCAUUUUAUUUACGUAAAGAAAGUCAGGAAAUGUAUAGAAUGAGCGCAAAUGUUGCGGGAGUGAAUCACUCCCGCAUUUGCACCAUUACGGAGAUCCUUAGGAGUUGUAGCCCUCUCCCUAAAAAAAAAAAAAAAAAAAAAAAAAAAAUCAGAGAGGGCUACAUUAUUGCAGCUAGUGAACAGCUUGAAAUAUGGUUUCGUAAUCCAGAUUGGAUAAUUUUUUAUCUUGUGAAGUAACGUUUCAGCUUUUAUAUUGAAGGGUAUAGUUGCUCAAAAAUCAAUA